rnacentral:rRNA from 1 species
AUUGAACGCUGGCGGCAGGCCUAACACAUGCAAGUCGUACGGCAGCACAGAAGAGCUUGCUCUUUGGGUGGCGAGUGGCGGACGGGUGAGUAAUGUCUGGGAAACUGCCCGAUGGAGGGGGAUAACUACUGGAAACGGUAGCUAAUACCGCAUAACGUCGCGAGACCAAAGUGGGGGACCUUCGGGCCUCACACCAUCGGAUGUGCCCAGAUGGGAUUAGCUAGUAGGUGGGGUAAUGGCUCACCUAGGCGACGAUCCCUAGCUGGUCUGAGAGGAUGACCAGCCACACUGGAACUGAGACACGGUCUAGACUCCGACGGGAGGCAGCAGUGGGGAAUAUUGCAGAAUGGGCGCAAGCCUGAUGCAGCCAUGCCGCGUGUAUGAAGAAGGCCUUCGGGUUGUAAAGUACUUUCAGCGGGGAGGAAGGCGGUGAGGUUAAUAACCUUGCCGAUUGACGUUACCCGCAGAAGAAGCACCGGCUAACUCCGUGCCAGCCGCCGCCGUAA